UCUGACGGAGCACGCCGCGUGAGCGAUGAAGGCCUUCGGGUCGUAAAGCUCUGUUGUUAGGGAAGAACAAGUACCGGAGUAACUGCCGGUACCUUGACGGUACCUAACCAGAAAGCCACGGCUAACUACGUGCCAGCAGCCGCGGUAAUACGUAGGUGGCAAGCGUUGUCCGGAAUUAUUGGGCGUAAAGCGCGCGCAGGCGGUCCUUUAAGUCUGAUGUGAAAGCCCACGGCUCAACCGUGGAGGGUCAUUGGAAACUGGGGGACUUGAGUACAGAAGAGGAAAGCGGAAUUCCACGUGUAGCGGUGAAAUGCGUAGAGAUGUGGAGGAACACCAGUGGCGAAGGCGGCUUUCUGGUCUGUAACUGACGCUGAGGCGCGAAAGCGUGGGGAGCAAACAGGAUUAGAUACCCUGGUAGUCCACGCCGUAAACGAUGAGUGCUAAGUGUUAGAGGGUUUCCGCCCUUUAGUGCUGCAGCUAACGCAUUAAGCACUCCGCCUGGGGAGUACGGCCGCAAGGCUGAAACUCAAAGGAAUUGACGGA
rnacentral:rRNA from 1 species